rnacentral:rRNA from 1 species
UAGGGAAUCUUCGGCAAUGGGGGGAACCAUGACCGAGCAACGCCGCGUGAGUGAAGAAGGUUUUCGGAUCGUAAAGCUCUGUUGUUAAGGAAGAACGAGUGUGAGAAUGGAAAGUUCAUACUGUGACGGUACUUAACCAGAAAGGGACGGCUAACUACGUGCCAGCAGCCGCGGUAAUACGUAGGUCCCGAGCGUUGUCCGGAUUUAUUGGGCGUAAAGCGAGCGCAGGCGGUUAGAUAAGUCUGAAGUUAAAGGCAGUGGCUCAACCAUUGUAGGCUUUGGAAACUGUUUAACUUGAGUGCAGAAGGGGAGAGUGGAAUUCCAUGUGUAGCGGUGAAAUGCGUAGAUAUAUGGAGGAACACCGGUGGCGAAAGCGGCUCUCUGGUCUGUAACUGACGCUGAGGCUCGAAAGCGUGGGGAGCGAACAGG